rfam:Gossypium raimondii Chr06_contig_936, whole genome shotgun sequence.
GACCCGAACCUAGGUGAUCUAUCCAUGACCAGGAUGAAGCUUGGGUGAAACUAAGUGUAGGUCCGAACCGACUGAUGUUGAAGAAUCAGCGGAUGAGUUGUGGUUAGGGGUGAAAUGCCACUCGAACCCAGAGCUACCUGG